UGCAAUAGAAAGUCAGGUAUUUGGGCUGAA
rnacentral:piRNA from 1 species